rnacentral:rRNA from 1 species
UGGGGAAUAUUGGGCAAUGGGGGGAAACCCGUGACCCAGCAACGCCGCGUGAGGGAAGAAGGUCUUCGGAUUGUAAACCUCUUUUACCAGGGAAGAAGAAAGUGACGGUACCUGGAGAAAAAGACCACGGCUAACUACGUGCCAGCAGCCGCGGUAAUACGUAGGUGGCAAGCGUUGUCCGGAUUUACUGGGUGUAAAGGGCGUGCAGCCGGGAAUGCAAGUCAGAUGUGAAAUCCAUGGGCUUAACCCAUGAACUGCAUUUGAAACUGUAUUUCUUGAGUACUGGAGAGGCAAUCGGAAUUCCUAGUGUAGCGGUGAAAUGCGUAGAUAUUAGGAGGAACACCAGUGGCGAAGGCGGAUUGCUGGACAGCAACUGACGGUGAGGCGCGAAAGUGUGGGGAGCAAACAGGAUUAGAUACCCUGGUAGU